CUCAGGAUAGCUGGAACUUUUUUAAAUAGUUUUAUCAGGUAAAGCGAAUGAUUAGAAGCUCUGGGGAUGAAACAUCCUCGACUUAUUCUCAAACUUUAAAUAGGUAAGAUGAUUGCAGUACUUAAUUGACUGUCAGUCUCUUGAAUAGUAAGUUCUUAGUGGGCCAUUUUUGGUAAGCAGAACUGGCGAUGUGGGAUGAACCAAACGUAAAGUUAAAAGUGCCUAAAAGUACGUUCAUCAGACACCACAAAAGGUGUUGAUUCAUCUUGACAGUUGGACAGUGGCCAUGGAAGUCGGAAUCUGCUAAGGAGUGUGUAACAACUCACCAACCGAAUGAAUUAGCCCUGAAAAUGGAUGGCGCUUAAACGUAUUACUUAUACUUUACCAUUAAAAUAAAUGCUAAAUUUUAAUGAGUAGGAGGGCGUAUGGAUAAUUUAG
rnacentral:rRNA from 1 species